AUUGAACGCUGGCGGCAGGCCUAACACAUGCAAGUCGAGCGGAUGAAGGGAGCUUGCUCCUGGAUUCAGCGGCGGACGGGUGAGUAAUGCCUAGGAAUCUGCCUGGUCGUGGGGGAUAACGUCCGGAAACGGGCGCUAAUACCGCAUACGUCCUGAGGGAGAAAGUGGGGGAUCUUCGGACCUCACGCUAUCAGAUGAGCCUAGGUCGGAUUAGCUAGUUGGUGGGGUAAAGGCCUACCAAGGCGACGAUCCGUAACUGGUCUGAGAGGAUGAUCAGUCACACUGGAACUGAGACACGGUCCAGACUCCUACGGGAGGCAGCAGUGGGGAAUAUUGGACAAAGGGCGAAAGCCUGAUCCAGCCAUGCCGCGUGUGUGAAGAAGGUCUUCGGAUUGUAAAGCACUUUAAGUUGGGAGGAAGGGCAGUAAGUUAAUACCUUGCUGUUUUGACGGUACCAACAGAAUAAGCACCGGCUAACUUCGUG
rnacentral:rRNA from 1 species